UUUAAGCCAUGAAAUUUGCCUGUACUCACAUACUACCUCGCUUGUUCUGACCCGUACUUGGAGCUCACUGUACACCAAUUCAACGGAUUUCUUUCGGCAAUCGAUGUGGACUAGUGAAUUCUAAAAUACUUUUUAUUUGUUCUUUUGAUUUUAUCAAUAUUUCCCAAGGCCAUUUUUUCUGUCAUCUUGAGUGUUGACGUAUACAUGCUUUCUUUCUUUUCAGCCAAACAUUGAUGUUCGAGGUGGAGCGGCAAAGAAAAUACCAAUAGAACAUGACGAGACGGAUCCCCUGCCUGGCUACACUGCGAAUGGUCAUCGCGUAAUGCAGCCGGAGGACGAGUCAAAUCAUUGACAAUCGCAACUUGACCUUCACAGAACCACACUGGAUAUUGUACACUAAUUGAGGCUAAUCCUGUGCAACAGAGAAUACAUAAGAAGAGACCUACAGUCAAUGUGAUUAGCGUUGUCCACCGAAAACUGACAUUUACACAUUUACACAUUUAGUCAUUUAGACAUUUAGAAAUAUCACGUGUUUUCUCGAACGUCCUGGCAUAAACCAAACGCUGAAAUACCAUUCUCCAUCUUAAAUCCUCACUAAAUGGUCGGGGCAUUUUAGAUUUUCGAUUCAUGAGUUGAAUUUUACAUUUAAAGUUCAGGCUGACGCACACGAAGCAUAGAAUACAUAAUGAAAAACGUGAAUGUCUAAAUGUGUAAAUUUCUAAAUGUCUAAAUGUCUCAAUGCCUUUUUUCGGUGGACAACGUUAAUUACAAUGACUGUAUAUUUUAGAUAGGUGUUGAGUAGUAAAAGUGUUUAAAAAAGGUACAAGUUUUGUUUUAUUUUUUAUUUAUUUUUUAAUGAAAAGGUCUAAAGACAAGUUACAAUGUAAUCAGUGACUCAUUCUUAAAAAGAAAUAAAGGUAGUUAUUUCAUAAAUUCUUA